AUACGGAGGGGGCUAGCGUUGUUCGGAAUUACUGGGCGUAAAGCGCGCGUAGGCGGGCUGGGUAGUUGGGGGUGAAAUCCCAGGGCUCAACCCUGGAACUGCCCUCAAUACUGCCAGUCUUGAGUUCGAGAGAGGUAAGUGGAAUUCCUAGUGUAGAGGUGAAAUUCGUAGAUAUUAGGAAGAACACCAGUGGCGAAGGCGGCUUACUGGCUCGAUACUGACGCUGAGGCGCGAAAGCGUGGGGAGCAAACAGGAUUAGAAACCCCAGUAGUCC
rnacentral:rRNA from 1 species